rnacentral:rRNA from 1 species
GGGAAGCGAGGCUCGCUACCAUACAGUCGACGAGAAGCUAAUUUCUGAUUCCUUCGGGAUGAUGAGGUUAGCAGGAAGUGGCGAACGGGUGAGUAACGCGUGGGUAAUCUACCCUGUAAGUGAGGGAUAACCCUCCGAAAGGAGGGCUAAUACCGCAUAAUAUCUUCUCCUCCUAAGAAGAGAAGAUUAAAGAUGGCCUCUAUACUAUGCUAUCGCUUCAGGAUGAGCCUGUGUCCUAUUAGUUAGUUGGUGGGGUAAUGGCCUACCAAGACCACAAUGGGUAGCCGGUCUGAGAGGAUGUACGGCCACACUGGGACUGAGAUACGGCCCAGACUCCUACGGGAGGCAGCAGUGGGGAAUAUUGCGCAAUGGGGGAAACCCUGACGCAGCGACGCCGCGUGGAUGAUGAAGGCCCUUGGGUUGUAAAAUCCUGUUCUGGGGGGAGAAAGCUUAAAGGUCCAAUAAACCCUUAAGCCUGACGGUACCCCAAGAGAAAGCUCCGGCUAAUUAUGUGCCAGCAGCCGCGGUAAUACAUAAGGAGCAAGCGUUAUCCGGAAUUAUUGGGCGUAAAGAGCCCGUAGGCGGUCUUAAAAGUCAGGUGUGAAAUUAUCAGGCUUAACCUGAUAAGGUCAUCU